rnacentral:rRNA from 1 species
UCCCAGUUCGGAUCGCAGGCUGCAACCCGCCUGCGUGAAGUUGGAAUCGCUAGUAAUCGCGGAUCAGCAUGCCGCGGUGAAUACGUUCCCGGGCCUUGUACACACCGCCCGUCACACCAUGAGAGUCGGGAACACCCGAAGUCCGUAGCCUAACCGCAAGGGGGGCGCGGCCGAAGGUGGGUUCGAUAAUUGGGGUGAAGUCGUAACAAGGUAAC